CUCAUGGACACAAUUUAAGUUAACUCUAUCUCAUUUAACUGGCAGGGACACUCGAUAGAAGCAUCUUCAAUGUCUCAUAUGUCAUGAAGACAAUACCAACACUAGGAACUACCUUGUAGUAUUCAGGCAGAAUCCCUCUAUACAAGCCCUUCAACCCUUCGUUCCGGAUUAUAUGUCCAAAUGUCCCAAACAAGCCAGAUGUGUAAACACGUUUACGACCACCAGCCCCUUCCAACUGCAUUCUUCUCCUCACAAG
rnacentral:misc_RNA from 1 species